AGUUAAGCUGGUAAGAGCACACGGAGGAUGCCUAGGCGCUAGGAGCCGAAGAAGGACGUGGCGAGCAACGACAAUAUACCCCGAAGUCGUAAGCAGACUUUGAUCCGGGGAUCCGAAUGGGGGAACCCGGCUGCGGUUAUGCGCAGUCACUCACUUCUCGAUCCAUAGGAAGUGAAGAGGCAAGACCAGGGGAACUGAAACAUCUAAGUACCUAGGGGAAAGAAGAAAUCGUGAUUCCGUCAGUAGCGGCGAGCGAAAGCGGAGGAGCCCAAACCAGAGAGCUUGCUCACUGGGGUUGUGGUGCCCUUAUACGGAGUUACAAAGGAGCAGAUUAGGCGAAGAGGUCUGGAAAGGCCUGCCACAGAAGGUAACAGCCCUGUAGCUGAAAGUCUGCUCUCUCCAAGGUGGAUCCCGAGUACGGCAGGACACGAAACCCCGUCGGAAUCGGCAGGACCAUCUGCCAAGGCUAAAUACUCCCUAGCGACCGAUGGUGACAGUACCGUGAGGGAAAGGUGAAAAGCACCCCGGGAGGGAGUGAAGAGAACCUGAAACCGUGUACAAGAAGUCAGAGCCCUAUGAUUUUCUUCGUCGGGGUUGAUGUGCCUUUUGUAGAAUGAACCGGCGAGUUACGCUUGCAUGCAGGAUUAAAGAUUGUGAAGAGCCGGAGCCACCGUAGUCCUGAGCAAGAUAAAAGCAUAAGCUUACAGUAGCAAUACUUUGUAUUGCUUGGAAGUAUGCAGGCGUAGACCCGAAACCGUGUGAUCUACCCUGUCCGAGGUGAAGGGGCGGGGGUAACACUCACUGGAGGCCCGAACCACAGACUCGGUAGAAAAAUUCGGGGAUGAGGGUGGGGGCCAGCGGAGAAAUUCCAAUCGAACUCGGAGAUAGCUGGUUCUCCUCGAAAUAGCUUUAGGGCUAGCCUCGGGUUAGAGUGAUGGAGACAAAGCACUGAUUGGGUGCGGGGCCCGCCAAGGGUUACCAAGUCCUAGUCAAACUCUGAAUGCCAUCCACUCGGUGCCCGGGAGUCAGACAGUGAGUGCUAAGAUCCAUUGUCAAGAGGGAAACAGCCCAGAUCAUCCUUCAGGUCCCCAAGUGUGUGUUAAGUGGGAAAGGAUGUGGAGUUGCACAGACAACCAGGAUGUUGGCUUAGAAGCAGCCACCAUUUAAAGAAGUGGUGUAAUAGCUCACUGGUCGAGUGACUCUGCGCCGAAAAUGUAACGGGGCUAAAUACCACCGAAGCUAUGGGUCCUAAUUAAGGGCAGUAGGGGAGCGUUCCAAGCAGCAUAGAAGGUUGACCGUGAGGACAGCUGGAGCGCUUGGAAGUGAGAAUGCCAGUAUGAGUAACGAAAAGAUCAGUAUGAGAAUCUGAUCCGCCGAAAGCCUAAGGGUUCCUGAGGAAGGUUCGUCCGCUCCAGGGUAAGUCGGGACCUAAGGCGAGGCCGAGGAAGGCGUAGUCGAAGGACAACAGGCAGAAAUUCCUGUACCACCAGAAAACAUAGCUAUGAGCGAUGGGGUGACACAGUAGGGUAGGGACGCAGCUGAUGGAAGUGCUUGUCAAGCAGUGAGGCUGGUGUGCAGGCAAAUCCGCACACGAUGAAAGCCGGGCUGUGACGGGGAGUGAAAAUAGCAGUAGCGAAGGUCUUGAUCUCACACUGUCAAGAAAAGCCUCUAGCCAGGUGCAGGUGCCCGUACCGCAAACCGACACAGGUAGGCGAGAAGGAAUUCUAAGGCGCGCGGAAGAACUCUCGUUAAGGAACUCGGCAAAAUGACCCCGUAACCUUAGGGAGAAGGGGUGCCCCGGUAAGUGAAUAGCUCGAGGGGGCCGCAGUGAAUAGGCCCAAGCGACUGUUUAGCAAAAACCACGGUCCCAGCCGACCGCAAGGCGAAGUAUAGCGGGCUAAGCCGCCUGCCAGUGCUGGAAGAGGUUAAAGGGGAGUGGUUAGGGCUUAAGGCCCGAAGCUAUGAACCGAAGCCCCGGCAAGCAGCGGCCGUAACCUCUUGGUCCUGAAGGUAGCGAAAUUCCUUGUCAGGUAAAUUCUGACCACUACGAAUGGCGUAACGGCUUGGGCGCUGUCUCAGCGAGGUCCGGUAGGUACAAUACACCAAUGAAGAUGCGGGUUACCCGCGACAAGACGGAAAGACCCCCGUGGAGCUUACUGCCAGCGAUGUGGACUUUGGUACGAUCUGUACAGGAUGAGUGGGCUAAAGCCGGAGCGCCAGCUUCGGUGGAGGCAACGUUGGGGACCACUCUGGUCAUGUCGGAGUUCUAACCGGGACCGUGAACCGGUUCGGGGACGUGUCGAGUGGAGCGGGUUUGACUGGGGCGGUCGCCUCCUAAAGAGUAACGGAGGCGCCCCAAGGGACUACCUCGAUGGUUUGGAAAUCAUUCGAAAGUGCAAAGGCAGAGAGAAUGACUGCAGGAGACCUACAAGUCCGAGCAGGGGACGAAAGUCGAACGUGAUCGGUGUUGCCCCGUGGCUGGAAGGAGCCCAUCGCUCAACGGACAAAGCUACCUGGGAUAACGAGCAUAUCUCCCCCAAAGUCCAUCUGACAGGGGAGGUUUGGCACCACCUCGAUGUCCGGCUCAUCACAUCACUGGGCUGAUGAGUCCCAAAGGUUGGGCUGUUCGCCCAGUAAACGGUGCACCGAGCUGGGUUCAGAACGUCCGUGAGACAGUUCGGUCCUAUCUGUCAUUGAGCGCAAGUGAGGGGAGCUGUCCUUAGUACGGAAGGAUGGAUGGACGUACCGCUGGUGUGCAGUUGUUCCAUGGGAAGCCUGGCUGGGUAACCUAUGUGCACGGAAGGAUAACGCUGAAGGCAUCUAAUGAAGCCGCCUCAAGAUGAAUUUCCCAAUCAGUAGACCCCUUGAAGACGACUGAGGCGUGAAUGGGUUCGGGGGUGAGCACAAGCAAUGCAUGGAGCUGACCAAUACUAAUCAGUCGAGGGCUUAUCUAA
rnacentral:rRNA from 1 species